UAAAGGUAUUCCGGUAGACGAUGGGGAUGCGUUCCAUUAGAUAGUAGGCGGGGUAACGGCCCACCUAGUCUUCGAUGGAUAGGGGUUCUGAGAGGAAGGUCCCCCACAUUGGAACUGAGACACGGUCCAAACUCCUACGGGAGGCAGCAGUGAGGAAUAUUGGUCAAUGGGCGAGAGCCUGAACCAGCCAAGUAGCGUGAAGGAUGACUGCCCUAUGGGUUGUAAACUUCUUUUAUAAAGGAAUAAAGUCGGGUAUGCAUACCCGUUUGCAUGUACUUUAUGAAUAAGGAUCGGCUAACUCCGUGCCAGCAGCCGCGGUAAUACGGAGGAUCCGAGCGUUAUCCGGAUUUAUUGGGUUUAAAGGGAGCGUAGAUGGAUGUUUAAGUCAGUUGUGAAAGUUUGCGGCUCAACCGUAAAAUUGCAGUUGAUACUGGAUAUCUUGAGUGCAGUUGAGGCAGGCGGAAUUCGUGGUGUAGCGGUGAAAUGCUUAGAUAUCACGAGGAACUCCGAUUGCGAAGGCAGCCUGCUAAGCUGCAACUGACAUUGAGGCUCGAAAGUGUGGGUAUCAAACAGGAUUAGAUACCCUGGUAGUCCACACGGUAAACGAUGAAUACUCGCUGUUUGCGAUAUACGGCAAGCGGCCA
rnacentral:rRNA from 1 species